AGAGAAUAUUAGUAAUGGGCGAAAGCCUGAACUAGCAACACCGCGUGUGCGAAGAAGGCCUUCGGGUUGUAAAGCACUUUUCGGGAGGAUGAGGAAGGACGGUACUCCCGGAAUAAGUCUCGGCUAACUACGUGCCAGCAGCCGCGGUAAAACGUAGGAGGCAAACGUUAUCCGGAUUUACUGGGCGUAAAGCGCGUGUAGGUGGUUUGGUAAGUAGGGCGUGAAGGCUCCUGGCUCAACUGGGAGAGGUCGUUCUAAACUGCCGAGCUAGAGGAUGGUAGAGGGAGGUGGAAUUCCGGGUGUAGCGGUGGAAUGCGCAGAUAUCCGGAGGAACACCAGUGGCGAAAGCGGCCUCCUGGACCACUCCUGACACUCAGACGCGAAAGCUAGGGUAGCAAACGG
rnacentral:rRNA from 1 species